GGGUCCCGCGCGCUCGCUCGCGAGAACCCGCGUCCCCCGCUGCUAGCGAGAACGCCCCGGGAACCAGGCCGCCCGCCCUGCAGCGUCGACUCGCUGCAGGGCCAGCGACCGACCUUCCGUAUGGCAUCACGUGCCGUACGGAACACUAAGAAACCCAAAAGAUCGAACGGGGAGAUUCAUUGUUAGCGCCGCUGACUUCGCGUCGGUCGGCGAUGUCCCGCGGUUUCUCGCGCGGGCACGCUACCGUACGCGCAUGUCUGACGUCAUCGUCGUGCACUUCUCCUCUAGUAGAACGUCGCGACUCGCUGGGUAUCGGUCUACGGCCCGGAUGCGGUGACUGCCGCGUCGCCGGUAAAACGGCACGCAGCAAAUCACCGGAAGCCCGGCCGGCUGUCCGUCGGUACUCGCACGGUGUCAGGCCGCAGUUUAUCUCUGCGUCAAGCCCGUCGCAAGCGCGCGCCACGAUCACUCGGAGGCAUGGAACUAAGCGCCGUCCCCGGUCCUGGCCUGCUGUUGGCCGAUGGUGAUCCUUCGACAGGCCUUACGGGGCGACACGUAGAUGGUUCGCCAUCCCGCGCUCACCCCAAUACCGAUUGGCGACGCUACUGCUUUGGGUACUCUUAGAACCCGUCUUGAAGGUCGGCCUUAGCGCCGACCGAGGGAGGAUGGGCCACGUCGCGAUGCGGCCUCGCGCUCCCGGGGCGUCUCGUUCUCAUCGCGAGAAGAGGCGCACCAAGAGCAUACAUGUUGGGACCUGAAAGAUGGUGAACUAUGCCUGGUCAGGACGAAGUUAGGGGAAACCCUGAUGGAAGUCCAUAGCGAUUCUGACGUGCAAAUCGAUCGUCGGAACUGGGUAUAGGGGCGAAAGACUAAUCGAACCGUCUAGCAGCUGGUUCCCUCCGAAGUUUCCCUCAGGAUAGCUGGCACUCGGCCGUUCCACGAAACGAGCGCGAGCCUCAUCAGGUAAAGCGAAUGAUUAGAGGCCUUGGGGCCGAAACGACCUCAAUCUUUUCUCAAACUUUAAAUGUGUGAGAUCUCUGGCUUUCUUGAACCUUGGAACCGUGAGAAUUACGGAUCAGAAUGCCAAGUGGGCCAUUUUUGGUAAGCAGAACUGGUGCUGUGUGAUGAACCAAACGCAGAGUUAAGGCGCCUAACUCGACACUCAUGGGACACCAUGAAAGGCGUUCGUUGCUAAAGACAGCAGGACGGUGGCCAUGGAAGUCGGAAUCCGCUAAGCAGUAUGUAACACGACGCUCAUGGGACACCAUGAAAGGCGUUGGUUGCUUAAGACAGCAGGACGGUGGCCAUGGAAGUCGGAAUCCGCUAAGGAGUGUGUAACAACUCACCUGCCGAAGCAACUAGCCCUGAAAAUGGAUGGCGCUGAAGCGUCGAGCCUAUACUCUGCCGUCAGCGGCAAGUGGGGCGGGGGCCCUAAACAGCCCCCGUCACGAAGCCCUGACGAGUAGGAGGGUCGCGGCGGUGUGCGCAGAAGGGUCUGGGCGCGAGCCUGCCUGGAGCCGCCGCCGGUGCAGAUCUUGGUGGUAGUAGCAAAUACUCCAGCGAGGCCCUGGAGGACUGACGUGGAGAAGGGUUUCGUGUGAACAGCCGUUGCACACGAGUCAGUCGAUCCUAAGCCCUAGGGGAAACCCUAUGUCAAUGACGGCGUAAUGCUCAGUGCUCUCUCGAACGUUUCAUACUGAACAUGGCACACGUCCGUCGGGCGAAAGGGAAUCCGGUUCCUAUUCCGGAACCCGGCAGCGGAACCGCAUACCAUUCGGGCCCUCGUAAGAGUGUUCGUCGGGUAAACCCAAAAUGACCUGGAGACGCUGUCGAGAGAUCCGUGAAGAGUUAUCUUUCCUGUAUAAGCGUUCGAGUUCCCUGGAAACCUCUAGCAGGGAGAUAGGGUUUGGAACGCGAAGAGCACCGCAGUUGCGGCGGUGUCCAGAUCUUCCCCUCGGACUUUGAAAAUCCAGGAGAGGGCCAUGUGGAUGUGUCGCGCCAGUUCGUACCUAUAUCCGCAGCAGGUCUUCAAGGUGAAGAGCCUCUAGUCGAUAGACUAAUGUAGGUAAGGGAAGUCGGCAAAUUAGAUCCGUAACUUCGGAAUAAGGUUUGGCUCUGAGGAGCGGGGCGUGUCGGGCUUGGUCGGGAAGCAGGUCUAGCUGACGUGCUGGGCCUGGGCGAGAUGCACGUCCAGGGAUCUGAGCUCGGUCCCGUGCCUUGGCCUCCCGCGGAUCUUCCUUGCUACGAGGCUUCCGUGGCGGCGUUAGCCGUCGUGGUCAUCCUCUUCGGCCGCCAUUCAACGCUCAGCUCAGGACUGGCACAGACUAGGGGAGUCCGACUGUAUAAUUAAAACAAAGCAUUGCGAUGGCCCUCGUGGAUGUUGACGCAAUGUGAUUUCUGCCCAGUGUUCUGAAUGUCAACGUGAAGAAAUUUAAGCAAGCGCGGGUAAACGGCGGGAGUAACUAUGAUUCUCUUAAGGCCGCUUCUGCGGCCACGUGUCAACCCCACCUCCUCCGUGGUGAGAGUCGAUAACGUCGU
rfam:Harpegnathos saltator strain R22 G/1 HarSal_1.0_2.contig6282, whole genome shotgun sequence.